GCUAUUCGCUUCAUUUAUUUCAU
rnacentral:miRNA from 1 species